rnacentral:rRNA from 1 species
AAUCAAUACCCGUUGAUCCUGCGGGAGGUUGCUGCUAUUCGGAUUCGAAUUAGCCAUGCAAGUCAGAUAGCAAUAUCGGCAGACUGCUCAGUAACACGUCGGUAAUCUAACCUUAGGUCAGGGAUAAUCUCGGGAAACUGAGUGUAAUACCUGAUAGGAGAAACAUACUGGAAUGUAGUUUCUUUCAAACUCGUGCCUAAGGAUGAGCCGGCGGUGGAUUAGGCUGUUGGUGGGGUAACGGCCCACCAAACCACAGAUCCAUAGGGGCCUUGAGAGAGGGAGCCCCGAGAGGGACACUGAGAUACUGGUCCCAGCCCUACGGGGUGCAGCAGGCGCGAAACCUUUACAAUGCACGAAAGUGUGAUAAGGGGAUCCGAAGUGCUCAUACUAUGUAUGGGCUUUUGCCAAAGGUAAAGUCUUUGGCGAAUAAGUGGUGGGCAAGACUGGUGCCAGCCGCCGCGGUAACACCAGCGCCACGAGUGGCAACCAUGAUUAUUGGGCCUAAAGCGUUCGUAGCCGGUUUAGUAAAUUUUCUGUGAAAUCGUUUCGCUCAACGUAACGACGUGCAGGAAACACUGCUAGACUUGAGACCGGGAGGAGCAAGGAGUAUUCUUGGGGGAGCGGUAAAAUGUUAUAAUCCCUUGAAGACUACCUGUGGCGAAGGCGCCUUGCUAGAACGGAUCUGACGGUGAGGGACGAAAGCCAGGGGAGCGAUCCGGAUUAGAUACCCGAGUAGUCCUGGCCGUAAACGCUGUGAUCUAGGUGUUGCACAUCCUCCGAGGAUGUGCAGUGUCGAAGCGAAGGCAUUAAGAUCACCGCCUGGGAAGUACGGUCGCAAGACUGAAACUUAAAGGAAUUGGCGGGGGAGCACCACAAGGGGUGCGGCGUGCGGUUUAAUCUAACUCAACACAGAGAAUUUCACCAGUGGCGACGGCAGAAUGAAGGUCAGUCUGAAGGGCUUACCCAACGAGCCGAGAGGUAGUGCAUGGCCGUCGUCAGCUCGUGCCGUGAGGUGUCCUGUUAAGUCAGGCAACGAGCGAGACCUGUAUCUACAAUUGCUAACAGCAUUUUGGACUGAGCACAUUGUAGAGACUGCCCUGGAAACAGGGAGGAAGGUGCAGGCAACGGUAGGUCUGUAUGCUCCGAAUCCACUGGGCUACACGCGCGCAACAAUGGUUGGGACAAUGGGAUGCAACUCCGAAAGGAGAAGCUAAUCCUCUAAACCCAGUCUAAGUCCAGAUUGAGGAUUGUAACUCAUCCUCAUGACGUUGGAAUCCCUAGUAAUCGGACUUCAUCAGAGUCCGGUGAAUAUGUCCCUGCUCCUUGCACACACCGCCCGUCAAACCACUCGAGCAGAGUUUAGGUAAGGGUUAGUUUUUUGAUUGAUCCGAAUCUAAGCUCAGUGAGAUGGGUUAAGUCGUCACAAGGUAGCCGUAGGGGAACCUGCGGCUGGAUCACCUCCUUU